AUACGUAGGUGGCGAGCGUUAUCCGGAAUUAUUGGGCGUAAAGGGAGCGCAGGCGGCUUAUUAAGUCUGAGGUUAAAUCUUGGGGCUCAACCCCAUGAUGCCUUAGAAACUGGUAGGCUAGAGUGCAGGAGAGGUGAGUGGAAUUCCAUGUGUAGCGGUAAAAUGCGUAGAUAUAUGGAGGAACACCGGUGGCGAAGGCGGCUCACUGGCCUGUAACUGACGCUGAGGCUCGAAAGCGUGGGGAGCAAAUAGGAUUAGAUACCCUAGUAGUCCACGCCGUAAACGAUGGAUACUAAGUGUUGGGAUAGAAUCUCAGUGCUGUAGUUAACGCAAUAAGUAUCCCGCCUGGGGAGUAUGCGCGCAAGCGUAAA
rnacentral:rRNA from 1 species